UACAGAGGGUGCGAGCGUUAAUCGGAAUUACUGGGCGUAAAGCGCACGUAGGCGGCUUGGUAUGUCGGGUGUGAAAUCCCCGGGCUCAACCUGGGAACUGCAUCCGAAACUGCCUUGCUCGAGUAUGGGAGAGGGAAGUGGAAUUUCAGGUGUAGCGGUGAAAUGCGUAGAUAUCUGAAGGAACAUCAGUGGCGAAAGCGACUUCCUGGACCAAUACUGACGCUCAUGUGCGAAAGCGUGGGGAGCAAACAGG
rnacentral:rRNA from 1 species